GACGGAGGGUGCUAGCGUUGUUCGGAAUCACUGGGCGUAAAGGGCGCGUAGGCGGCUGGGACAGUCGGCUGUGAAAGCCCGGGGCUCAACCCCGGAGGUGCAGCCGAGACUGCCCGGCUGGAGGCCGGAAGAGGAGGGUGGAAUACCCAGUGUAGAGGUGAAAUUCGUAGAUAUUGGGUGGAACACCGGUGGCGAAAGCGGCUCUCUGGUCCGGUCCUGACGCUGAGGCGCGAAAGCGUGGGGAGCAAACAGG
rnacentral:rRNA from 1 species